rnacentral:lncRNA from 1 species
UGGGAGUAUGACUUGGGCAGCUCCAGCUGGCUCCUCUGCUAGUCUUGCCGCAGUCACCAGUUUUGGAGGAAUGGGAGAGGAGCUUUCCACUCCUCUGAGAGUCAUGUCGAGAGUCUGUCUUAGCCCUCGACCCCUCAGUCUUUGUAGAUCUCAUCCCAGAACCCCGAGGGAGAGGAGAAGUUCUGGUCUCUCCUCGGUGCUGCGGCUGCCCCGGGAAGAGUUUCCAGGAGCUGACAAGCAUUCAGAUGAGUAAAGAUGGGAUCGGAUUGAGAAAAGGAGAAGGGAGAGCAUAUUCGUUCUCUUUCCACCUCCCUCCCACAGCCUUUCAUGCUGAUCUCAUCUGACGAAGCUGCCUCCUCCUCCCUGGACUCUACAAGCCCCUGUCAUGAUGUUUCUCAGAUCCUGAAUUCCAGCGAAACAGAUGAUACUAACAAGUUUGAAGACCCCCACAGAGGAAUGGAAUCAGUAUGAGAACACAGUUUCUUCAUCUCCCUGUCCCAGAACUUCACCCUGGACUCCUCGACCAAUCAACAAUCUCCACACUUCGGCCCACUCCAAAACUCCUAAAAUCCCAAGCUCCAAACUCCUCUGGGAGAUGGAUUUGAGGCUUCCUCCCGUUUCCUUGUGUGGAAGCCCUGUCAUUAAACCUCUUUCUCUG